GCACCGUCAGCCCCCUCCAACGCCAGCGCCCUAGGACGCCGUGCUGCCGCCCGUUGCAAGUCGCCGCCCUGCAUCCCAACGCCACACCAUUUCCCUUCGUCCCCAACGCCGCACCGCCCGUCCACCCGAUGCAAGGACGCCGCCGCCGGAGGACGCCGCCCUGCACCUUCUGUCCGGUGUCAUCCACUGCUCCUCGAAGCCGAACUACAGCUAAAGGUACCUGAAUAUGCGCUUCCCAAUUUGGCACAAUAUAUUGCUUCCCAGUUUGCACUCUGAAAGGCAAAGGUUAUUUCUUUUAAUUAGCUGUAAUCUAGAUAUUGAUGUUCUAAUAUGUCUCUAGCUCCACAUACAUCAUUUAUGGGAUGAUCCCCUACAUGCAAAUAAUCUCCAAGUUUGACGUGUAAAAGCUUACAGGGCCUUAAAACAUGUCUGAAGAAACCUUCUCUUUGCACAUCGUUCUCACAAAAUUAUCUUCGGUAAGCUUGUGGCUAGCUGUAUUUAACAUUCCGUAUUAGCAUGAAGUAAAUAUUUCCAGUAGUCAUCUUUUGGUAAAAGUGUAUCCAAAUGUGUGGUUCAUGCCUGCAAUACAAAAAUAUGAAGAAAACUCAUAUAAACAAGCUACAAUUAUGUGAGAAAGCCAUGGUUACUUUUUUUUUGGUCAGUCAGAACUUGUAUGAAUCGGUGCAAUGAGAUACAUGCGACAUUAAAAAAAGUUAAUCUCUAUCUCCUACAUUCCUCUCUAGGUGGCUGUAGUGUUCCCGUAUGCAUAUGUGUUCUCUCUUUCUGUCCAUGGCAUCUCCUUUUCGUUUCAAAUUUGUGAGCAUCAAUUUCAAUCUCCUAAAAUUACUGGGAAAUAAAUAGAAGUUAGGCACAACUAUCUCUGAUAUCAAACUUGCUAGGCUUUACUCUGUUUUUUGUUACAAGGUAAGUAAAAGCUUUGAAAACAUUCUUCCUAUAAAUGUUGAAAGACUACCCAGCCAUCCAGGGGGUCUGAGAGGGGCAAAUCGAUCUGAUCCGUCCGUUUCGCUAGCUACAGUAAAUUCCAAUCCCGCUUUUCACCACGGCCGUCGGAUGUUGUAAUUUUUUAAUCACUUUUUGCUUGUCCCGUCGAGUCCAUGACAAACGGGACCUUAUAUGUGCGCGGGCCGCCGGUCAUAGGCAGCCACACAGGCUCGUUCAUGUCACCCUUCUCGUUUGGGGCAGUGAAAACCUAGACGGGCCAGUCUCUCCUCCCCCAAUCCCCACCUCCUCUCCCGUCCCCCAAUCCCCACCUCCUCUCCCAACCCGUGCCGCCGGCUCUCCUCCUCGGAAGAAGCGCCAUCCGUCACUCCGCUGCACCGGCGUGCGGCGAGAUCAAGAAGGAUGGCGGCAGCGACCGGAGGCGCCGAGUGCGGCCAGAGACGGGCCGACGCAGGGCGGAUCCGCGACGACCGGAGGCGGCGGUGGCGGCGGAGACCGGUGGCGCCGGGCGCGGCCAGAGACGGGCCGGCUCUGGGCGGAUCCGCGGCGGCGACGACCGGAGGCGACGGUCGCGGCCAGAGACGGAUCGGCGCGGGGCGGCCGCCUCAAGUGAAGAACUGGUCUCGCUCGACAAUGCCCUCGCUCGCCGUCAUGCUGGUCUCCCCUUCCCCAACCGGAGUGGAUUGGCAGACAUGGACAUGGCCAGAGCAGGCACGCUUUGACAUGGAUUUGAUCAAACAAAAGAAUCAUUGGAAGCUGAUUUGGAGGAAUGUCACUGUAUGCAAUCCUGUUGCUUCUCUAUGUUCUUUGGCUGCUUCGACGUGGCAGAUGCAAAAUGAGAGGUACAAGUUUGGGGUCAAUGAUGCAUUACUUGCUAGAAGGAAAUAUCUAAAUUGAUGAAUCUAAAAAAGUCGAAUAAACAGUUAAAGGUGCUACAGUUUGGAAUAACUUUGGUUUUACAAGUUCAUAUUUUGAAGAUUGAAAAUAAAAAGUACAUGAAGAAUAACUUUGUCCUAGGAAACUAGCUCCAUUUAUUCUACGAAAAAAUAUAACUUCUGUAGAUAUGCCUUCGGUUUGUAAUUUUUAUUUCUUCUUUGCUAAUAUCUUUUGGUUCUACGGCAUUUGCCUUGCUGCGUAGGAUAUUUUGAGCUGAGAACUGACAUCAUCAUUAGUGCGUUGAUGGAUCUUGAGACAUGAGCCAAUGCUGCUGGUACUGACAAGGGCAUGCAGGUACGACGGCGGCUGGAUGGGAUUUGAGAAGAGAGGCAAGGCUGGAUGGUGACUUCUGACGCAGCUGCACAAGCAUCGUCAGGUAUCCACCAAGGGUGUGUUAUUUGGUAUCCCGCUUCUUUCCUUCCAGGCAUGUCGCCCCCCUAUCGACAGGCUCAACCUUCUUGUGAGAUCAUCACCCAUCCCUCAGUUUCAGUUAGCUCCUUCCUGCUAAUAUUUCUUACUUCGUCCGGUUCAAUAUUUCUCAAUUGGUCUUGCUAUGUUGCUGCGAGGUGGCAUCAUUUUUGGUAAAGAUCAUUGCUCUCAAGGUAGCGAGGAGGAUCUCCAAAGCAAGAUGUUCCUUUGCAUGGAAUUAUAUUCAACCAUUGCAAGUUCUUGGAUAUAUUCCAUUUAGAUGGAUUCAACUAUGUGCAGCACUCAAAGUUGUUGUGCAAGGUGAAGAUCGAUCUGCAGAUCGCGGAAUUCAUGCUGAUGGUGGUCCUCUGAUCCAUGCUUACCAAGGAGGUUAAGCUGACAUGAUUCAGCCCAAAAUGGGUUGGCAUUUUCUUCCGCCUAGCUUACUUAAAGAGGGUAGAAGCGGGUCAUGAUGGUCACUGGAAGUCUGAUAGAGUGAAGAAUAAAAAGGCUGGAAAGACCAUUGAUAAUGUGGUAACAGAAGAAUUGGAGGUGCCUUCUGGCAUUAAUAAAUCUGGCAGAAAGGUUUUUGCUGAUGUGGCCAUGUGGGUGGGUUGGAAACAGG